GGGGUCAGAUGCUCGUAUUUUUAGAGAGGAGCCGCGCGGUGAUUGGUGCGUUGCUAAGCCCGCCCCGCUGCACGGCCGGGGAGCCCUUCGGUGUGCUCGAUUUGUGUUUCUUUGGACUAACAAAAGUGUAUUUUCCUCGGAAUUUCUGCCACCGAAUCGCCCCGUUUCCUCGGUGAGGGAGGAGAAGAGCAGCCCUCUAUGAUGUCAACACUAAACAUGUAUAUAACAUGAAUACGUUUGCUUUCAUCAAAAUUGGGUUUAAUCGAGCACAAAAGUCGCAACUAAAUGAUAUGAAGAU